rnacentral:rRNA from 1 species
GACGAACGCUGGCGGCGUGCCUAAUACAUGCAAGUAGAACGCACAGUUUAUACCGUAGCUUGCUACACCAUAGACUGUGAGUUGCGAACGGGUGAGUAACGCGUAGGUAACCUGCCUGGUAGCGGGGGAUAACUAUUGGAAACGAUAGCUAAUACCGCAUAAUAUUAAUUAUUGCAUGAUAAUUAAUUGAAAGGUGCAAUUGCACCACUACCAGAUGGACCUGCGUUGUAUUAGCUAGUAGGUGAGGUAACGGCUCACCUAGGCGACGAUACAUAGCCGACCUGAGAGGGUGAUCGGCCACACUGGGACUGGGACACGGCCCAGACGCCUACGGGAGGCAGCAGUAGGGAAUCUUCGGCAAUGGACGAAAGUCUGACCGAGCAACGCCGCGUGAGUGAAGAAGGUUUUCGGAUCGUAAAGCUCUGUUGUAAGAGAAGAACGGGUGUGAGAGUGGAAAGUUCACACUGUGACGGUAUCUUACCAGAAAGGGACGGCUAACUACGUG